rnacentral:rRNA from 1 species
CAGCCGCCGCGGUAAUACGUAGGGUGCGAGCGAUAAUCGGAAUUACUGGGCGUAAAGCGUGCGCAGGCGGUUGUGUAAGACAGGUGUGAAAUCCCCGGGCUUAACCUGGGAACUGCGCUUGUGACUGCACAGCUAGAGUAUGGCAGAGGGGGUUGGAAUUCCACUUGUAGCAGUGAAAUGCGUAGAGAUGUGGAGGAACACCGAUGGCGAAGGCAGCCCCCUGGGCCAAUACUGACGCUCAUGCACGAAAGCGUGGGGAGCAAACAGGAUUAGAUACCCGCGUAGUCCCUGUCUCUUAUAC